UAGCAUAAACUUUCUCCUAGUUUCUAUUCGUUUCCAGGAAUAAGAAACCCUUUUGCGAAUCUUCGAUAGUCUUUAGCUUGUGGUAUAAAGGAAAUAGCUAAAAGAAGAUAAAAGUGUCCAAGGGACUUUUGUUUGGAUUUUUCUUUAAGUUUGUUAUUGAUAACUUAUUUUCGUUAAGACAUGCAUUUGUAUAUGGACUGUUGUGAUAGCCAAGAUCAAUGGAUUGUUUCUUGUAUUAUUCGUGUUUUGUUUUUCCUUCUUUUAUUUGAUCCUAUCCUCUGUUAAAUACCUUUGGUUGAAAUCUGGGAUAAUUAGUCUUUCGCGGGCUAGCAGUGUUAAAAUUUGGUUUGAUAUAGUAGGAAUCAUCGAGACUAGAAACUACAUGCUGGAACCAUGUUUUUUGGUAUAAAAUCUCCCUUAAGAACUUGUGCAGGGAGCUCUUUUUCUUUUUGUAUCCGUUCGUGACCAUUUUGUUCAUUGCAUUCGCUACUUGUUAUGUCCAAGAACGUACCUUUACCUCUAAAUAGAUUAUCUAGGUAUGCCCAAAUCAUGUAUAAUAUGAUUUGUUGAAUUAUGCGUCAUUUUUAGAGAAGUUACUUUCAUUCUAGUUGUCUCAUUCUAUUCGGAUUGUAAUAUAUACCCGUCCAUGCUUUGCAUCGUAUCGAUUGACUCUCAUUCUUAUUAUCUGCAUAAGUGUGUGCAUCAUUAUCAUUCAUAAAUUGGAC
rnacentral:lncRNA from 1 species